UGUUCCCAUUCUGUGACCUGGACAGAACACAGACACCUCACCAUGGAGUUUCUGCUUGCCUGGGUUUUCCUGGUUGCCCUUUUAAGAGGUGUCCAGUGUGACGUGCAGCUGGUGGAGUCUGGAGGGGACCUGGUGAAGCCUGGAGGGUCUCUGAGACUCACAUGUGUGGCCUCUGGAUUCACCUUCAGUAGCAACAGCAUGAACUGGGUCCGCCAGGCUCCAGGAAAGGGGCUGCAAUGGGUCGCAUAUAUUAAUACUGAUGGAUGUAGCACAUACUACGCAGACUCCGUGAAGGGCCGAUUCACCAUCUCCAGAGACAACGCCAAGAACACGCUGUAUCUGCAGAUGAACAACCUGCGGGGCGAGGACAAGGCCACAUAUUACUGUGCAAGAGACAGGGUGAGGGGACCUCACUGGGAGCCCAGACACAAACCUCCCUGCAGGAGGGGAUCAGCACCACCGGGGGGCGCACACUAUGCACAAUUCUGGUUUGUGUUGCCAGGAGCAG